rnacentral:rRNA from 1 species
CGUCUAUAUACGUAUAGCAUAUCAAUAAGCGGAGGAAAAGAAACUAACAAGGAUUCCCUUAGUAACGGCGAGUGAAGCGGGAAGAGCUCAAAUUUGAAAUCUUCAAGGUUCUACCUUGACGAAUUGUAGUUUAUAGAAGUGUUUUCUGUUAGUAGGAGUGGCAAAAGUUCUUUGGAAUAGGACAUCAUAGAGGGUGAGAAUCCCGUAUUUGGUCAUUCCUUCCUAGCGUUGUGAUACACUUUCAACGAGUCGGAUUGUUUGGGAAUGCAGUCCAAAAUGGGUGGUAAAUUUCAUCUAAAGCUAAAUAUUGGCGAGAGACCGAUAGCGAACAAGUACCGUGAGGGAAAGAUGAAAAGGAACUUUGAAAAGAGAGUUAAACAGUACGUGAAAUUGUCAAAAGGGAAGCGUUUGACACCAGUGUUGUUUUUCCGAAAAUCAAUUACGAAUGUUUUAGUUUUUGAGGAGUUAUGACUUCAUCGGCUUGCUUCCUUUCUUUAUGAAACUUUCUUAAUGCACUUUUCGGUUAACAAGUCAACAUCAAUUUCUUUUGUUGUAAAAGGGUAUGAGGAAGGUGGCUUUCUUUUCGGAGAAAGUGUUUAUAGCCUUGUAGCCUCUGCAAUCGGAGAGAUUGAGGUCUGCAGCGUAGAUCCUUCGGGGUUAGAUACAGUUUGUGCUAAGUUAUAGCUUUUCAUAGACAACUUGUUGACUAUGUUUAGUCUUGCAGCUUACUCGCUUAUGCUAUUUUACCUACGCUUAGGAUGUUGAUAUGCAUGACUGAUAU